rnacentral:rRNA from 1 species
UCAGGAUGAACGCUGGUUUUUGCGCCUAACACAUGNAAGUCGAACGGUUAAGGCGCCCUUCGGGGCGCGAAUAGAGUGGCGAACGGNUGAGUAACACGUGGGCAACCUGCCCCCCGCACCGGGACAGCCUCGGGAAACCGUGGGUAAUACCGGGUACUCCGCCACCCCCGCAUGGGGGAGGCGGGAGAGCGUAUGCGGCGGGGGAUGGGCCCGCGGCCUGUUAGCUAGUUGGCGGGGCAACGGCCCACCAAGGCGAUUAUGGGUAGCUGGGUUGAGAGACCGACCAGCCAGAUUGGGACUGAGACACGGCCCAGACUCCUACGGGAGGCAGCAGUGGGGAAUCUUGCGCAAUGGGGGCAACCCUGACGCAGCGACGCCGCGUGCGGGACGAAGGCCUUCGGGUCGUAAACCGCUUUCAGCAGGGACGAGGCCGAAAGGUGACGGUACCUGCAGAAGAAGCCCCGGCUAACUACGUGCCAGCAGCCGCGGUAAUACGUAGGGGGCGAGCGUUAUCCGGAUUCAUUGGGCGUAAAGCGCUCGUAGGCUGCCCCGCUAGGUCCGGGGUCAAAUCCGGGGGCUCAACCCCCGCACGCCCCGGAUACCGGCGGGCUUGAGUCGGGUAGGGGAAGGCGGAAUUCCAGGUGUAGCGGUGGAAUGCGCAGAUAUCUGGAAGAACACCGGUGGCGAAGGCGGCCUUCUGGGCCUCGACUGACGCUGAGGAGCGAAAGCUGGGGGAGCGAACAGGAUUAGAUACCCUGGUAGUCCCAGCCGUAAACGAUGGACGCUAGGUGUGGGGGGGAUUGUCCCUCCGUGCCGCAGCCAACGCAUUAAGCGUCCCGCCUGGGGAGUACGGCCGCAAGGCUAAAACUCAAAGGAAUUGACGGGGGCCCGCNCAAGCAGCGGAGCAUNUGGCUUAAUUNGAAGCAACGNGAAGAACCUUACCAGCGNUUGACNUUAUGGUGAAGCCGGGGAGACCCGGUGGCCGAGAGGAGCCNUAACAGGUGGUGCAUGGCUGUCGUCAGCUCGUGUCGUGAGAUGUUGGGUUGAGUCCCGCAACGAGCGCAACCCCCGUCGCGUGUUGCCAGCGGUUCGGCCGGGCACCCGCGCGAGACCGCCGGCGUCAAGCCGGAGGAGGGUGGGGACGACGUCAAGUCAUCAUGCCCCUUAUGCGCUGGGCCGCACACGUGCUACAAUGGCCGGCACAACGGGCUGCCACGCCGCAAGGCGGAGCGAAUCCCCAAAGCCGGCCCCAGUUNGGACCGGGGGCUGCAACCCGCCCCCGCGAAGUCGGAGUUGCUAGUAAUCGCGGAUCAGCACGCCGCGGUGAAUGCGUUCCCGGGCCUUGUACACACCGCCCGUCACACCACCCGAGUCGCCUGCACCCGAAGUCGCCGGCCCAACCCGCGAGGGAGGGAGGUGCCGAAGGUGUGGCUGGUAA